CAGCAAUGGCACUUCAAUGCACUAUUCUGUUGCUCAUCAGUGUCUUUUUCACCAAAGCACUGGCACUAGAUUGUUAUAGAUGUAAACCAGACUCUGAAACUGAAAUAUGCACACCAUACAUAUAUACGUGUGCAUCUGAGUGUAGCUCCAUGACCACAACUGCAUACGCAGGUGAGUUUAAACACAGUCAAAGCCAGAAGUCUUGUGGAGAUCCCUCUUCGUGUCUCACUGGGAGUAUAAAUUAUGGACUAAGCAGAGUGACCAUCAACUCUCAAUGCUGUAACACACGUCUCUGCAACAGUCAAAAUGCACCCGGUGCAUGAGUUUUUCCAUAUUUUCCCAUCAUUUCUCUACAGUUUCAUGACCUUGUUCUACAUCAUUUCAUACAUUAAUUGUUGCAUGUCUCUAUAACCAAUGUGAGGUUUACAGUAAAUACUUUUUUUGCCUUCAUCACUUGUAUAGAUUUGCCACGCAAGUCCCGUAAUGGAAAGACUUGUUUCACCUGUGAUGAUUCAGGCUGCUCAAAGAUUUUGCAUUGUGAAGGUGAUGAGAACCAGUGCUUCACUUUAACAGUUGAGGUGAAUGGCAAGCAGAACACUGAGAAAGGAUGUUCCAGCAACCUGUUCUGUGGGAACUAUGCAUCACGUAUGAAUGAAUCACGUAUAUUGGGCCGAAGUAUAGGUUAUAACAUGAAAUGUUGUGAGGGAAACCUGUGUAACAGCACCCAGAGCAUGAGUGGUUUCUUUCUUCCACUCAUAUCUCUAAUUUUUCUACUUUUCAUCUAACAUGAGAGCUCACGAGAGGGCACGAGUUGUGGUCGCACAGGAGCUGCAUGUCUGUGGACAACAAAUUAUAUAUCUCUAUUCCUCUUUUUUAUUUGUGUCAUUAAGUAACACUGUUUGGUUGCACUGAGUGAUGACUGUAAACCACCCAAGACCAGCCAGGUUUAGAGCAUCUAUAUUUUACUGUAAACUGCAUCUAGUUAGCUUUCCCUGUCUCUAUAUAAAAGAGCAACACAAUGUGCUCUGUUUCAAUUUUACUUAUUUAUACACUGUAAAAAAUCCAACUGGCAAAAUGUUCUCCCUACAAAGAGAAAUAACUUGAACAUAGCAUUUUUAGUUAAAGAGUCAAAUGAUUGUUUUGCAUAUACUGAACAAAAUUAGCCUAAACAUGUUUCUAACAAAAAUUAUUUUGUUGACUGGAAUUAGAUUCUCAAGUUUUAGGCCAAAAUGCGUCAGAAAGUUUGCCCAACUUACAAAACAGUGUAUUCUGAACAAGCAAUAUUGCAAGAGUUUGAAAGUUCCCAAGAUGCAUUGCAGCAUGUUCAAUUCUGUGUUUCUUAUUUGUUUUUAUUUUAAAGAUUAGUGUUUUAGUUCUUGCUGGCUUAAUUUAUGCUUUAAUAUCGUUGAUACUGUUAGUUAUCUGUUGAGUUUAGAGUUCUUUUAAUGAAUGAUGGUUUUUGAUUGUUACCAUGGUUGAGAUUUGUGUGUUCAAUGUUGAGGUGUAAGUGACACAACGUCAAAGCCGAUAUACAAACACUCAACACAAACUGUUUAAACAGUUAUUUGAUCAAAGUUUGGGUUUGUUUGAAGCAGAAAACAUUUACAAACGACAAAUACAUUUGUUGAUUUUUAAAUAACCAAUCUACAGUAUAUUCUCUAUUUAUGUUCAGCGUCCAAAAAAUAUUUUGUUCUGUUUUUUUGUUAGGUAAACAUGAGUAUUUAUGUUUUGACAACUUGUUUUAUUAACAAAAUAUUUUGAGUUGUGUGGACUUCAGACCACAUUAGUUGAGAAAACUCAUAAAUGUGCUUGUGAUCGGUUGCCUUAUUAUUUUAAGUUUUGUCAACUUUUUUUACAGUAUACAGUUGAUAAAGCAAGUGUAGUUGUAGAAUUUAGCUUAUUAAGAAAAAUCUACCUUUUUUAAUUCACCCAUAAAUUAAAAUUCUGUCAUCAAUAACUCACAUUCGUAUUGUUCCAGAUCUGUAUACAUUUCUUUGUUCUGAUGAACAUAGUAUUUGGAAGAAUGCUUAUAACCAAACGGUUCUAGUAGGAAAAAUUACUUUAUAAUUAUAAUUUGAACACAAAAGAAGAUAUUUUGAAGAAUGUAGGACAGCAAACAGUUCUGGGGCACUUUUGACUACUAAUGUAAUUUUUCCUACUAUGGUAGGAAUUUGCUAUUUGUGAUAUUUUAUGAACCAUAACGUUUUUAUCUACAUUUAACUUUCGCAUUAUUGAUCAGCAUGUAAACAUUUGUGACCCUGUGAAAACCCAGGCUAAAGUCUCAUAAACAAAUUAAUUAUUAGAUAACAAGCAUCAAAGAUUAAUUUCAAGCAUUACUUUCACUAAGAUUUCAAUAUUUAAAAUGGCAUGAUUCAGUCAAUAUUGAAGAUAUUGUUGUUAUAUUUUCACAGAAUAUUCUGUAGGAUGACUUAAAGUAGAAAACAGUAAAAAGACUGGGUUUUCACAAGCAGAGUCACAUUUGGUAAUGAACAACGUUCUAAUUGGGAAAUUAUUUAAAGAUAGAAGUAGGUCUGGUAUGAAUGGCAUGGAAAGGCGAUUUAGUAAAUAACUUUGUUUUCUGUUUGUGAUGAGAGCAUUUUAAUUGUUAUACAUUUGCUGUUUGUACGUUGUCAGUAGUUUUUUUUAUUUACAAAUAUUAAUUAUCAGACUUCUAUUAAGAGGGCAUUCCCUUUAAGCCAUAGAGCCUACAAUACAUACAUGUGGAUAUCAAAAUUUUAAGUAAAUGGCCUGAUAAAAGAUCAUAUCUUAUAUUCAACUGGCUAAAUUGAUUAAAUAUUUCUUUAUUUUCAAAAAACAUAUUGUCCGGACCUCCGUUUAGAAGAAAACAUAAAGACCAGACCUCUUGGAACUUUAAUUGAAUACCCCUGCUAUACAACUAUAAAGUAUUCUGUUAUAUUUGUAAUAUUGGGAGCGGGUGAACUGUCAGAUUCUUUUUCUGUUGAGGUCAGCACAGUUUUGCAUGUAUGAGCCCAUGUUGCUUGUGAUU